ACCCCCCCUGCCCCCGUCCUUUCUGUCCUCAUCUCUGAGCUGCUGUUUCAGGGAGUCAACUCUGUUCAUGACACGAGAAAAAAAAUCAGCAGGAAACGGAAAGACUGCUGUUUCUGGAGCAUGUGAACUCUUCGGACAGCUGUGUGACCACCCUGUCACUGCACGGAGACGGUCCAUCUCACUCCUGGGGGCGGGAGAGGACACGGCAGACGAGCGCUGGGACCCUGUGAGCUGUGCGUGGGCCUGUGCUGACCUCCCGCCCGCCUGGGGGUGAGGGCCCCUCCUGGGAAACGAGGCAGACUUCUUCCUGCUCCCCUGUGGGUCCUUCCAGGGACUGUCCAGGAGUGACCCCCCCCCCCGCUAGGGAGGACAUUCCCUAGAACGGCCACACCUCUUCCCGAAGAGGGUCCUUACACCCCGAGCCGAAAGUACCCCGCUUCUCAGAGCUUCUCAGAGUGACCCUGGAGAUCCGGGAAUUAAACUCAUGAGUUUAUGAAAUAAGAAACAAAGACGAAGCUUCUGAUCAGCUGAGAUCUUGUCACGUAAAGAAGGCGCCGUGCGACCAGGGCAGGCUGUGCGGCGCGCACGGGGCCGGAGAAUACCCACCCGAGGGGCUGGACCUCAUUUGCCUCAGGAAACACCCACCUGAUCUGGGAAGAAAACCAGAGCAAAGGCCGUAUCAACGUUCAGGGUUCGUACGUAUGUUCUGUCUCAGAAUACAUCGCAAAUCCGAGAUAAUCGAAGGGGGCGAUCUGGCCCAGGCAGAACAGCAUCUGGUUCCUUAACGGCUCCGUGGGCAGCGCGCUCCCUCACGGGCCAGCCGCUUGGGCGUCCCAGCCGGCGGAGGGAUGAACCGAGCCUCGGUCAGACAGCGUGCCUGAAACAACGGACGUUUAUUUUUCACGCUUCUGGAGGCGGCAGGGCCACGAUCAGGGUGCCGCACGGUGGGGUUCUGGUGAGGCCUCCCCACCGGACUUGGAGACGGCCGCCUGCUCACUGUGUCCUCACGCGGCACAGAGAGAACCAGUCCCUUCCUCCUAUAUGGACAAUGAUCCCAUCCCGGGGCUCGCACUCAUGACCUCAUCUAAACCCAGAUACUUCCCCAAGCCCCCACCUCCAAAUCCCAUCUCGCGGGGGGUCAGGGCUCCAACAUGUGAAUUUCAGGAGGGGGACACAGUUCAGGUCGUAGCAGAGGGCAUGGCCCUGCUGUGUAAGGAUGCUUUCUGAAAGCUGCAUAUAUAAGACAGCUGCUUAAGAUUUGUUGGCCAAACUUUAGGCACAUGGCCACAAGACAGGAUGGGGAGUACAUCCAGCUAGGUUGAGGGCUUUCUAUUACAACGUGCUCAGAUAAGAGUUGGGAGUCAGACUUUUUCCACACGGCUGCUCCUUUGUCCUGAUCGUGACACCUCGUGGUCCAAAAUGGCUGUUGGGGGACAUCCAUCACCUCCGCAUUCCAGCCAAGAAGACAUUCCUUACUUAGUCACUAUGUUGUGUGGGGUUGUAGCCUUUUAUCCGCGUGCAAUGAAUCUAGCUAAAAGCUGGGGUUCUUGUCACUGAGGCAGAAGGAUGUGAAGGACGUUGGGGGUGAUUCUACGCCCCACCCUCGCGGUUGCCUCAAGGAUCUCAGAGCCUGACGUUUAAUGGCGCUGUCCUGUUCUGACAUAACCAGCUCAGAUUCCACCUCUGCUAAGUCUACACUGCAGGCUCCCCAAGUGCACGGGCCACAGCUUUCCUUCCCUUCAUCCCUCCUAGAAUUUGGCAGCCAGCAAGUACUAGGCAAUCAUUAGCUUAGCGUUUGUUUGCUGAGCUGAGGUCGAGCUGUACCAGGCGCGGAAUCGGGAAGCAGAGGAGGGGGGUUGUUUUCCGACCCCGAGUUAGCCUGCCCACCCACGCUAACGCCUGCCCCCAGCCUCCGGCCCUGCGUCUCCUCCAGUGUCAGAGUUCCCGAGGCCGGCUCCCCUUGGGACAGACUCUCCCCCCCGUACCCCUCUGUAAAGUUUCAGACCUCUUUCUAAUAAACCCCAGAUGGAGGGAGCGUUUUGCCCGGGAGCAAGAUUAUUCCCUGGCAUUCUUGAGACAUUUAACGGCCAAGGACUGUCCAGAGCUGGGAGAGGGCCAUAAAGGACAGACACCGGGCCUCAGGAGGUGACAAAAAGAAUGGGGAGCAGGGAGGGACCAUUGCCCUCAGCCAUUUGUCUGCAGCCAGAGGUUUCCAGAUGGCUCGGCCUGCUCCGUGGGCUCUCCCCUCCCUGUACCCCUGGGAUCAUCUCUCUGCAUGCGGACGGGGCGGGGUGGGGGGGGGGGUCACGCCUUUCUCUGCUCUGUGCUGGGCAGUGUGACUCACUGGGGCGAUGACGCGACUGUCCUGACCGUGGCAAAGUGGUACGAUUGUCCUCGCUCUCCACAGCCUUCAACCACUGGAGGUGCUUCAACGAUGCAGAUCCAGACGGACAUUGCUAGUGACACGUCACCUCUGAGCCCACAGGGCCCAUCCCUGAAAGGAGCCGUGAACACCAUCGUCGCCCUCGGCGCGGCAGCGGCCAAAUCCUGGGGGGAACGCCCCGCGGUUAUAAUAAGCUUUCUCACGAUGGGCC